rfam:Xylona heveae TC161 unplaced genomic scaffold L228scaffold_15, whole genome shotgun sequence.
GCGAGUUUGGCCGAGUGGUCUAAGGCGGCAGAUUUAAGUUGGUAACGAUCUUUUCGUUUUCUCGACAAUUCUCUGCUGGGGAGACCCGCGUGAGUUCGAACCUCACAGCUCGCA